rnacentral:rRNA from 1 species
GUGUCAGCAGCCGCGGUAAGACGAACUGUGCGAACGUUAUUCGGAAUCACUGGGCUUACAGGGUGCGUAGGCGGCCUGUUAAGUAGGGUGUGAAAUCCCCCGGCCCAACCGGGGAAUGGCGCUCUAAACUAGCAGGCUUGAGUGAGCUAGGGGUGCAUGGAACUUCCAGUGGAGCGGUGAAAUGUGUUGAUAUUGGAAGGAACACCGGAGGCGAAAGCGAUGCACUGGGGCUUAACUGACGCUGAGGCACGAAAGCCAGGGUAGCGAACGGGAUUAGAAACCCCUGUAGUCC